AUUGAACGCUAGCGGGAUGCCUUACACAUGCAAGUCGAACGGAGUGGCGAACGGGUGAGUAAUGUAUCGGAACGUGCCCAGUAGCGGGGGAUAACUACGCGAAAGCGUAGCUAAUACCGCAUACUAUUGGAGCGGCCGAUAUCGGAUUGGCUAGUUGGUGGGGUAACGGCCCAACAAGGAGACGAUCCGUAGCCGGUUUGGGUGGACGACCCGCCACAGUGGGACGGGGACACGGCCCAGACUCCUACGUGAGGCAGCAGUGGGAAAUUUUGGACAAUGGGGGAAACCCUGAUCCAGCCAUCCCGCGUGUGCGAUGAAGGCCUUCGGGUUGUAAGGCACUUUUGGCAGGAAAGCGGUACCUGCAGAAUAAGCACCGGCUAACUACGUGCCAGCAGCCGCGGUAAUAC
rnacentral:rRNA from 1 species